rnacentral:rRNA from 1 species
GUGCCAGCCGCUGCGGUAAUACGUAGGGCGCAAGCGUUGUCCGGAAUUAUUGGGCGUAAAGAGCUCGUAGGCGGCUUGUCGCGUCGGUUGUGAAAGCCCGGGGCUUAACCCCGGGUCUGCAGUCGAUACGGGCAGGCUAGAGUUCGGUAGGGGAGAUCGGAAUUCCUGGUGUAGCGGUGAAAUGCGCAGAUAUCAGGAGGAACACCGGUGGCGGAAGGCGGAUCUCUGGGCCGAUACUGACGC